rnacentral:rRNA from 1 species
AAUGCCCCCCGUCUGUGUGGGGCCGGUUAAGAAAUUGUCGGGCGGUCCAAGCGGAAAGCGUUAAGCAUCCCACUGGGGAGGUACGCCGGCAACGGUGAAACUCAAAGGAAUGACGGGGGCCCGCACAAGCGGAGGAACAUGUGGUUUAAUUCGAUGAUACGCGAGGAACCUUUACCCGGGCUUGAACUGCAGCAGAACGAUGGAGAGAUCCUGAGGCCCUUUCGGGGCCGCUGUGGAGGUGCUGCAUGGUUGUCGUCAGCUCGUGCCGUGAGGUGUCGGCUUAAGUGCCAUAACGAGCGCAACCCUUUUCAUUAGUUGCCAUCAGGUGAUGCUGGGCACUCUGGUGAUACUGCCACCGUAAGGUGUGAGGAAGGUGGGGAUGACGUCAAAUCAGCACGGCCCUUACGUCCGGGGCUACACACGUGUUACAAUGGGAGGAAAAAGAGAGUCAAAAUAUACGCAAGUAUGUUCUAAUCCUUAAAGCCUUCCUCAGUUCGGAUUGGGGUCUGCAACCCGAACCCAUGAAGCUGGAUUCGCUAGUAAUCGCGCAUCAGCCAUGGCGCGGUGAAUACGUUCCCGGGCCUUGUACACACCGCCCGUCAAGCCAUGAAAGCCGGGGGCGCUUGAAGUCCGUGACCGCAAGGAUCGGCCUAGAGCGAAACUGGUAAUGGGGCUAAGUCGUAACA